CGACCCUCAGACUAAAAUGUUUCUUCCUUAUCUUUCUUAUAAGAUAAAUAUAUAAGGCCUCUCAGAGCCUUUUCUUUUCCAGGCUGAGCAACCCCAGCUCUCUCAGCCUUUCCUUAUAGGAGAAGUGCUCCAGCCCCUGGAACAUCUUCAUGGCUUCAUCUGGACCUGCUCCACCAGGCCUGUAACUAGCCUGUAAAAGCGUAUAUUUGUCGUUUUUCCAUGUCUUGCGUGUUUAAAUGAAUGUUCUGUUACCCACACACUAGUCAGUCAGUACCAAGAGAGGAAACAAUCUGGCAAACUCAAAACAACACUUGUGACAAUGGUCCCUGCUCCUCCUUCUGAAAUACAGCCAGUGCACGUGAUGUUGAAAAAAUGUGUGUUCAGGCCUUAAGUGACAUGAGCUGAGGAAAACCAGAUAAACCAAAUUGACGCAUAAAGGGACAAUUUUGGUUUUUCCCCCCGGAUUUCCCUCACAAGGCACGGCUCGGGGGCUCAGGAUGUGUGGUUCCAUGGUGUAAUGGUUAGCACUCUGGACUCUGAAUCCAGCGAUCCGAGUUCAAAUCUCGGUGGAACCUGAAGCUUUUUUGCAGUUGUCAAAUUUCUCUGCUGGAAAAUCGUGGAAAAGUUGUUUCAGGUGUUUUUCAUGGACUGUUGAAAUGCCGUGAACUACUGACAUAUCCCGUGCUACCUGGAAAGCAUAUGGAAAGUGAAAGAGGAAGAGAAAACAAACAUAGGAUUUUCCUGAUUAUAUUUUUUUCCAUAUCUAUUACUUAUUGCAGCCAGGUUGGUAUAUUCUGACAGGAAUUAUCUGAAGAAUGUCAGAGAUGUCACAGUUCACUGGAACAUCAGUGGUUCUUUUAUUUCUACACUGGGAACACGAUUCUAAAUUCUGCAUUAGCAAAGCUGGAGGCACCACUGAGCUCCGGGGCAGGGUUGCUCAGGACACCAGAACACCAUCUCCCCUCCUGCAAACCUCUCCUCACUAGUCACUGGUUUACACAGCAACAGGAACAUCCCUGCUCUGUGCCAGCAGCUCCUCCUCCUCUGACCAGGUAACCCUUCCGUACUGUCCUUGAAAAGAAAGCACAGGACACCUUCAGAUCAAUUUAUUAUUUAGUGGAAGUUCAGGUCCCAGCUGCUCAAGGGAACAUAUGGAAAUGUUUGCUCAGUUUGUUACAUUUUCACCCAACCCAUCGAUGAAAAAUCCCUUGUCUGUGUCAGGGCUAAUUUUCAUCCUUCCCUCAGCUGUUUGUUGGAUCAGGCCACACACAAAUAAGGAUUUUAUUGUUCCUUGUGCACCAGUGUUUUAAUUAACUCUCUACAGUAACUUCAGUGUAAUUAGUCAGCCCUCACAGACUGGUUUCAUCCUUCUCCCCAGGCACCAGAGCUUUAAAGCCAUAGAGGCUUGUCUGCCUUGCAGUGAUUCAGUAUAUUAAUUUACAAUUCUAGAGAGCAGAUUACCCUUUCCCACAGCAAUCUGGCAACUUUCUCCUUCCAUUUAUGAGAGUUGGAGGUGUAGCUGUGACCCAGAACUCUCCCAAACAGCUGAGGCACUAUUGGUGCCAGAGACAUGCUCAGCACUCCAGACAAGUGUGAAACCAGGUGUACUGAGACUUUUUUAUGGGAUGAGAUGGAAUCAGUGCAGAAUUAAGCAUCAGGAUUUAUUCAGGACAGUUCAUGGUCAUGCUCCAUUUAAAAACAAAGCACUGAAAUUUGGGUAACAGAACACUGUCCAAAUGCAGUCCAGCUGAGACUGCUGCAUAUGGAUAUAUCCUUGACUGUCAGGGAAGCACACACUCCUGGGGCUGAGGGAAACCUCCUGCUCAAGGCAAAGGGACCUCACAACACACUGGAACAGCCUCAGAGUACAGAACUACAACCCAGGCAUCCAGCACUUGAUGUACUCAAGUCAAGAACACCCAAGACAAUUCCCAAAUUAAUUCAGCAUUUCCAGUUCCCUUCCCAGAAUCCCUCCAGCUCAGAAUUUUCUAAAAAGCCUCUAGAGACAAGGCUGUCUCAGCAGAACAUUCAAGGGAGAGGUGAAGCACUAUGGCUGUGGCCACACCAGGAGCUUUUCCCUUUGCUGAAAAGGCAGGAGCAAUGGAAAUUAUUGGCUGCCAAAAAUUAAUCAGGGAAUUAAAUAGUGCUGUAUUUUCAGAAGUGUGGCUGGAACAUGUGUUGUCAACAGUAACACUUUCCAACUACAGGUUUAAAAGCCAGAAUCAAACCUUAGGCAAGUGUUUCACUAUAUAUGAAGCUGUAAUGAGGUUUUCCGAUACCUCAAAUUUCAAUGAAAGCAGGUGGAGGGGGAAAGAAAAAAUUCUUUUCAACUGGCACUUUAAAGAAAAGGGCUUAUGUUUUACUCCAAAAAGUCUUAUAAAAGAAAAGCUAACCAAAAUAAAAGACAAGUCUCAGUUACUUAGGUCACUAAUGAUAAUACAGACAUUCCAUGCAGCCUCUACAAGCUCAGUUAGAUGCCCUUCUUGUCUUUAAAAAGAAUUCUGCAGCAGCCAAAUAAUCAACAGCUCUUCACACUGUGACCUCAGGGGGUUAAAACACUGGAGCAGAUGGAAGAAAUGGUGGAUUCAAUUGAAAUAAUUUAUUUCAUACACUGAGCCACAGAUUUCCUGGGAGCAGGGCACAGAUUUCCUUCCCCCACGGACCAGCCCAUUCCUGGGGGUCCCCCACUGGCACAGGGAGUGAGGCCCUUCAGUGCAACAGCCAAACACAGAGGCCAAAGUGCCACCCACCCCUGAGGAGGAUUUGUCACCUUGCACAAACAGUUCAGGGGUCUCCUUUCAGAACAAGGCAGCUCUUGUGUCAUUUAGUGAAGAUUUCACACUUUUUCAUACCACUUCACCCAGUAUAUGCACAUAAAAAAAUAAGCACACUGUACAAAGAGCAGAAGCCAUAUAAUUUAAACAUGCAUCCAGCUACAAACCAUAUAUACAGAGAAACAGGCCUAUACAAACAGAACAGGACACCUUAGUACAUGAUAAUUCCGUUGGAGUUUCUGGAGGAAAUCGUGGCAGAUAAAGAAAAUCAGACUGAAGGAGGUGGAUGUUGCUUCUAAAAGAAAUCUGUUCCCAAAUGUCAUGCAACACCCCAUCUUUCUCUAGCAGACAUUUGUCACAGUUCCAGCUACACACACAGGUCUUCCCACGACUUCUGGCCUCCCUUCCUGUACAGAGGUAGAUUUCUGGUGAUGUUCUGAUAUUGCACCACGUAAGUACCACGUUUUUAUUACAAGGGCCAACUCGGGCUAAUUCAUGGGGAUAAUCUCAUGGUGUGCAUUCAGGUAGUGCACUAAUCAAAUUCAUCUGCACUUGAAAGAAAACAUCCCUCCAAGUGCAAUGGUUUCUUGUUUAGGUGGAGGCUGCAAUUAUUAACAGCUUCACAUUAAGAGAACUAUUUCUUGUCAUCAGGGUGACACUUGAGUGUCUCUCUCCUUUUCGGCCAAUGCCAGGACUUGCACUGCCUUCCCUGCUGCUUUAUCCCAUCCACUGGGUUCAGGUGAAAUGUGGAUUUCAAACACACACAGGUUUUUGCAGGAUUAGACCUUCCUCACACAAGCUCUUGUAAUAUUGAAUGUACAAGAAGAUUAAUUCAAACUGCAUGAAAUGAUUAAAAAAGCCCAUCCACCCUUUCAGGCUGGACAAGGAAAGGUGGAACUUUGCUAGUUUCAAACAGCCAUUAAUGGUGAACAGAUUGGAUGUUACCAGGAAAAUCUGAGGAAGUCUGGCAGGAGUUUAAUUUUCUUUUGUCCAUCACAUUCUUGAACAACCCUCUGACAACCCAGGACACUGCAGACAAGCUUGCAUGCCAAGAGCACUUUACAGUGUCUGUUAAAUGAAACCUCUACAGCAUACUUAGAAAAAUAAGUGCACCAAAAUUCAUGAUGCUGAUGUAUCUUAACUCUGAUGAGUUCACAAGCAUUGCUCAGGACUUUUUUCUCAGAGGCACCCCAGGAAGUUAUUUUUUGCAGAAGUCUGUCAACAUGGGAGACAAAUGAAAGAACAAUCUGGGCAUGUUUCACUCUCAGAGAGAAGCCAAGCAGCACCACCACUCCUGGCUGCAAGCUUUGAAGACAACUUAAAGUAAGUUCUCUUUUUUACCAACCAACCAACCUAUUUGGAGCUAUUUUAAAUGAACCAGUCAGCAUUAGCUUCCCAGGUUCAGUUUCUGUGAAGCAUCCUGUGACAUUACAUCAGGAAGGAAUGGUGGCUAGUUUGGAACUGAGCAUUUUUUUGCUGAAUUACAGAUACAAGGCAUAUAGAAAUUCAUUACAUCUCUUCAUAUACUCACUUGUCCUUUUAAAGGGCUUUUUCCUUAGCCAGACAAGUAAAUCCCAAGUUACUUCACACCAACUGCAACAAUACUGAAAUUCCUGUGGACUGUUCUCCUGUGAUGACAGGGAUUGCACACCUAGGAGUAGGAGUAAAAUCAUCUCACCCUCUUGGAGGAGCCCAUGCUGUGAAGUGAAUGGAAUGCUUCACUCCAGGGAGUAACUUCUUCAGGAAUUACACUCCCAAAGGGCUUCUGGACCUUGCGAGAUCACGUUUUUGAAUGAGGAAAUCCAUGAAACGACACACAGUAAAAGUUAAAUGACAGUGGCAGGAACCAGAGCUUUUGGAGACUUCUGUGGUUUUGCAAAGCAAUGGUUCUUCCCCAGGAACAGUCCCCAGCUGGGCAGUGCCUCACUCACCCUGGCUGGUGCUCCGUGGUUGCAUAGAGGGUCCCCGUGGUGACCCCAGAGCUCAGCACAGCUCUGCCCUGUCAUCUGUUACCACUUGAUGUCCAAACUGCUCGUGCUUUGAUUCACUGCACUGUAUGUGGUGUGCAAAGUCUCCUGGGCCUUCUUGGAGUCCAUGCCCUCCAGCCAGUCCUGGUACACCUUCUGUACGUGCAGGUUGGUUUCUGGCAGCCGGACGGGAAUGGCAGCGUACACCUCCUCCAUCUGGGCAAGCAGGGCUCUGUCUGGCUUGCCAUCCUCAGUCUGGGCCUGGCCUUUGCCAUUUAGGCACCCUUAGGGGAAAAAAAAAGGAACAAAAAAGCUGCAAGGGUGAUGAGGUUUGAUAUGAGGAGAAAUUUUAACUCAAAAUUCGUUUUUCACACUUGGCUUUACAUAAACUGCCCCCAGUGCUAUUACAAUUUGUAUUUACCUAAAGUGACUCUGAUAUCAGCAUCAUCUUAAUGGAAAUGAGGUUUCCAUAUCAACAGUCUUUCCCUGCCUUCUCCGUGGUUUUAUGAUCCUAAUUAUCUUCUCUUUCUUGCCCUUGACAACGACCAUUUCAGGGAUUUCCUCUGAGGUUUGGAAGUGCCGGCACUGACUGAUAGGUCAGCAGAGAGCCAGAAACACUGGGGCUAAUUUUGGAAAAACCAAUCAAUUCCUGAGCCAACCCACAACCUGUAACUGGUGUUCUGGACCCUUCAUUAAACAAUGAGAUUUUAGAUUAUUAAGAAGGGAAUUAGGAAGGAAUGAAGUGCUUGCCUUAGGGCAGCUUUCCUUUGAGAUUCAAGACGUGCACAGAGCGUUUGGGGAUCCACAAUUAUUCUUACCUCCUGGGCAGGCAAGGACUUCUACAAAAUGGUACAAAAACUUUCCUUUUUUCAACUUCAGGACCAUGUUUUGGAUAUUUCUAAAGCCAUAAGCUGCUGCAAAGCGCAGCACUGUCUCCCCAUCCUUUUCAAGGGUAACUUCUUGGAAGUCCUUGUUCCUGUCAAAACACACAGAGAACAUUUUAACCCCCUGUGUUCCCAGAGGAACAAUCCAACUGUGUCAGUUUGUAUUCAGAUGUUCUAAAGAGAACAGAACAAGUGUAACAGUAAGAUCAAGGUGAACUCUUCCAGUUUCUAAACUGUGUUAAGCAGAAAUUGGGGUGUAACUCAGAAUAGAACUAUAGUUAAUUUUUAAAGUGUGGUUAAGCUAUCAAUUAAAUGAAUGCUGUGACAGACUUACAGGUUUAUAACAUAUCAGCUGCAUUCACUGCAGCACCAACUAAACCAGGGGAGGUUCAGACUGGACUUCAGCAACCCUUUCCUAACCAAAAGGGUGGUCAGACCCUGGAACAGAAUCCCCCAGAGAGGUGGUUAAUUUUGGUCAGCCCACAUUCCUCAGACAGUUGCACUGGAUGAUCAUUGUAGGUCCCUUGCAAGUGAAAAUAUUCUAUUCUAACUAGCCAGUCCUACAUAACAAGGAUACAAAACUCUUGACUUACUUUAAUGCUUUGUAGGUGAUUUCCUUGACAUCCAUGCCAAAAAGCUCCUUUGCAGCAUGUUUAAAAAUGUGCUCCAGGUAACCAUCAGACCUCUUCCCAUCGUGCCUUACUACAUCUCCCUCCUUUAUGUCAGCAAACCUUAGAAAACAACAGAAAGGAAGAUCAACUCUGAAAUUCCAUUCCUUCCCUUCAGUCAAGCAGUAUGUUUUUCCCUUUCUCUAUCUCCCCCACCAAAAAGUGUUUUGUAGCACUAAGUAAGAACACAUUAACAUUUUUAUUACAGCUUAAAAAAUGUAAACUGGUCAGGACAGCAGCAAGAUUGUGAAAAAAAUAAAAUAAAAUAUAUAUAAAAUAAAGGCUGUAGGGCUUUCCAUGUUCAAGCAACAGUAAUUCGUAAGAAUGCACAUUCAGCACAGCCUAAAUAUUUGGUUAACAGCCAUUCACUGCUCAGGAGACAUUUUUUGGAAAAUAUUUAAAUAAAAUUAUUUAAAUAGUAGGUUUUUGCCUGUGAGAAUAUAAAGUUACAAGUCUUUGCUGACAGACAAUUCUCCUGCUCCAGGAGCUGUUUGUCACAGUCUAUAACAGUGUGUCAACAGAACACUGAACUGGUACAGCUGCAACCAAGUUAGAAUAGUGUACCUUGAAACAAGUGCUGUGCUCUAGCUCAGGGAAGGCAGUGAGAGCUCCUGUCCAAGGCCAUGGCCUUCUCCUGGAGCUUCACCUCUGCCCCAGUUGGGAGCAGCUCUGCUGAGCCCACGUGGCUGCAGGAGGGGCUGUGCUGGGACACGUGCUGGGGAUCCCAAAGCUGCAGCUCUGGGGGCUCCUGUUCCCUCCUGGCAGAGGAGGAAUCCAUGUGGGGGUGGGAAUGCCACUUCCAGGAGGAGACACUGGGCUGAUCAGCAGACAGACAGAUGAUGUGCUUUGCUCUUCCAUGUAACAGCCCCUCUGGGUGCAGUCUCGUUCCCUUCUCCCAGAACACCCAGAGUGCCCCUCCCUGGCACUGGCAGCUCCUGCCUGAGCUGAUCCCAGCACAGAGCUCGGCCACAGAGCCCAGGCUGAUACAGAAUUAAGUGACUGUCUCUAUGUGAUUAUGCCUGCAAGAGCUUUAUUCGUGGAAUUCUCAUUGUGUGACAGUUCCUGGUAGAAGCAAUCACAGGAGCUGCACCAGAAACACAGCUCUGAACAUGUUCCCACUGCACCACUCCAAUUCCUCCACUCUAGACAAGAUCCAAGCAGGAUAUUAACUGGAACUGAAAAGGAUUUUUCCAAACUUACAGAGUUUUCUAUUUUCUGCAAGAAAGCAUGUUUACUGCUCCACUACCACCCCUCUGGAAAGAUACCAAGGAACAUCUGUCACACUUGAGCAAAGAUCAGGGAGAGCAGCCUCUGUAACUAAGCCUGAGAAUUAACCACCAGGCACAGUGCUCCCUGAGCCAGGCAUAUGGGGUGUAAACAAAACCUCUUCAGUGCUUUGUGUGCUUCUCAUCCACAGCACAGUUCAGUCUGAGCUAAUCUUGAAAAACUAACUGCUGUCCUCAGUAUAAAAACCAGUUAAUUACCCUUUCCUGAAAGGGUGCUGCUUCUAGCAGUUCUCCGUGAACAUAUUGGGGAAGUGGAAAUUUCCUGUGAAGGAGAGGGGAGCACAGAGCAGAUGGUCAAGCCCACGACUGUGUCCCUGCAGCUUUGUGUGAGGCACAUCAGCCUGCUGGGCUUCACUCAAGAUCAAGCACAGGAGAGCUCUGAACGGGGUCAACACCCCCAGACAGUCACAUUUACCAGCAAGGCAUGAGCUCAGCACAGUCAAAUCUAAUAUUACUGCGUUAAAAUAAAAAUAAGGAGCUACACAAAUCUUCUAAAGUCAUAAAUUUUAAAGGAGUUAUUAUGUAGCAUAUAAUCUGAGGUAAUGACCCUUUUGUGUUUAGACAGCAUAUACAGUUUUAUAUUAUCUGUUUCAUAUUACUUUUAUAUAUAGCAAUGAACAUCUAAGACAACACUUCUGUGGUUUUGGCCACCACAUAAAGGAUGAAGCUGUGGGAUAUUCAGGCUUUGAUGCAGGUUUUUUUCUUUAAAAAGAAAAAACAUUCUCCUGAGCAGUUUUACAUUGAUGCUGAGUAUGCUUCAAGGUGUCAUUUAUGAUCAAAAUAAGGAAACAAUCCACAACAAAGCUACUUACAAACUAUCUACAGCUACUUCAGGCACAUCUUUCAUAGACACAUUUUUCUGUUCCAUUAUUUGGACAAUUUCACCUGUAGGAAAACAUGAGACAUUUUACUUUCAACACAAAGCACAACCCCCACGCUGUGCCUGUUUUAGAGAUCAAUGUCCCAACACCUGCUCAGUCACAUUGUCCAGCUCUUCCCAGAGUCAGUUCCCUCCAAUAACUUGAGAAGCCUGACACUUCCAGCCCCAAAGAAAAGGGCCUUCAAGCUUGCCCAAGCUUUGCUUAAAUCCUUAGCCUUCAUGGUAGGGCAAAUUUGGAAGAUGUCUCUACACUGCAGGAUGUGUAGUUUGGACAUUAAGGCUAAAGACAUGAAUUUGGAGUGUUAAAAAUAAUCCCAGUGGAGAUUAAAUAAUGACCACAGACAAGACAGAUAAUCAUUUUAAAUAUAGAUUUGCAUAACUUUUACCUUCCUCGAGAGGCUGACAGAAAGAAACACCUGAUAUGUCAGAUGAAUAGCAACUUAGAAGGAAAGUAUCCCCUUCACAGUCCCACAAAAACAGACGUACUUAUUUUUAAGCAGAGAAAAGCCAACCUUAGGACUAAAGCAGACUUGAAAAAAGCCAAGUCUGACAUGAAGGCUGUGCUAAAACUGGUGAUUCACUUAUAUAUUUAUAGAUGGUAAGUUUAAAGAUUUCACCUGAUGUCAGGACACAAUCAACUUCUGAUGAAUUAUACAAGGCAGUGUAGAAAUCUUCCCGCAAGGCUUCCAGCUUUUUGUCAUAACAAGGCGCCACAACUACAUGGAAAAUUUUAUCAGGAGACAAGUUCUGUGGAACACAGAAGGGAGCACAAGUGAACUCCUUGAAGAGCAAAAGACAGCUUGAAGGAUGACAAGGACAGAAGUAGUGUCAUAAACCCCGUGCAGGCAAUACCAGGAAUCAGCCCCCACCCAUUACAUUUAGAGGCUGCCACACACAGAUAAUGAUUUGCCAGAAGUCACAAAGCAUCAGCAACAGACUUCCAAAGUCUGUCUUCUGGCUGGAACUCCUACUUAUACCUUCACACCACGUUUUCUGUAGCUUUUGAUUGCCUUAGAAAAUGAAUACAGUUCAGGAGUUCUGGUUUCCAGCUGUCACUCAUUUAUGUCUCUCUAUUUCUGUAUCCAUGUGCAGACAGCAACAAUUUCCUACAGACUGUGGCUGCAGUUCCAUGUAAGUGUGAUAUGUAAAGAACAGCAGCUUUUUCAACCUACAAACUUGAGAGGAUACAAAGAUUUGUUUCCAGGAUACAGUGCUUUUAUUGAUCCCAGAUAACAGGGCAAUUUCCACAUGUCUCUCCUCCGCUCCUAUUUUGGCUGUGCUGUAGAACAGCACAAGAAACCCUUUAGCUGCCAUGGGUUUAAUUUUAUCCUUAAAUAUCUAAAGCCAUGUUGCCCUGAGAGUGCAAGGAUUGCACUGCAUGAACUGAGGUUCUUUGCACAUUCUUCCCAUCGUGGCACUUGUGUAGCAGCAGAGCACUAUUUAUUUUACAAGGACAAAUAAUAACUAACAUCUGUAUUUCAGUAUUAAAACCCACUAGCCCAACUUUUCUAUUUAGAAGAGUAUAAUGGUAAAAAUAAAUGGGAGUUAUUUACCUGCUGCCUGGCAAAGUAGCCCUUCACUAGGGAGCCCAUGAUCUGCUGGGGAGACUUUGCAGUGCAAAUGUGAGAGGUCACCAGGUUGGUGAGCACCCUUUCAGCAUAUCGGAUCCAACCUGGAGAGACAGGAAAAAUCACAGUCAGAGGGAGAAGUGGCCCAGAAGCACAACUCAGAGAACAGCUCCUAAAAAUUCUGACCCCUUCACAGUAGGUAGGACAUUUCUGUGCAGGGUGAGGGGAAAUGGAGGAAAAUUCAAGGCUCUGUUAAUAAUGCUUUAAUCGAUAAUUCACUGUGUCAUUAACUCUAGACCUAAAGCCACUGUGAACUUCGUGCCCUGUUACACCCUUCCUAGUGCACAGAUUUAACAAAGCAGAAAGAACAGGACCCCAACUAACAAAGAGUAACUUGACCUUCUAGACCUCAGCCCUCGGAUCACCUCAUACUACAACAAAUGCACUGUUUGGCUGCUUAACUGGAACCUGCUGUUUCCUGAGAUUCAGUAUCCAUGCCCCCAGCUCGCCCCCCUGGAACAGAAGAGUCACAUGAAAGCAUUAUCACAAGGUGCACAUGGAUUAAGCCUGGAAAAAAAUGGCUUCUUUUACUAUUGCUGGAGUAGCCACACCUUCAGGAACACCCACACACUCAACCACACACACAGGAAUGAACUGAAAUCUUUGUGUGCAACAUUCUGUCCUUAGUUACUCAAGAACCCCCCUCCCUCUCACCAGACUCCUUCACUCAGCAUGCCAGCUCAGGCAAGCUGUGGAUAUUCACACCAUUCCCAAUAUCCAGAGCUGUUGUAUUAUUCCCCACCUUCCAAAACAGAACUGGCAAAUCGAGGUAUUUAGGGUGUGCAAUUCUUUCUUAGGCACUUUCUUAGGCUCUUACUGGAAAUCACAGCCCAGAAUCUUUCACAGCAAAGGUUUGGUGCUUUUUUCAUCUACAUGACACCUAAACUGUGCAGGAGGUUUAGGCCCAGCCUUCCAGGGAAGUGUGUUGCUUUUGGUGCUAAGGAAUAAUGAGAAAUAUCACACUUAAAUAUUUUAUCUUCAAGCAAAUUAGUGUUUACAUAAGAGAAAAACUGCUGUGCACAGUACAUGCUGCCCAGGAAGGGUAAAAUCUGUACCUUAAUUUUUAAUCUUGGAAUUACCACUUAUGUAAAAAAACACUUGGUAAUGUUUAAGUCAGAACAGCAGCACAAAAGUGGGAUCCAAGCGGUGUUCAGCUGUUUGCCUCUCUAUGGCAGAGUAGUUUUCCCAGUGUUAUAAAAUUUUACUGAUGAAAAUGAGAAUGUGAAAGUAUUAGAAAAACCCGAGGAUCCUCCAGCUGUUUAAAUAUUCCCAAUUCUUGCUGAAGAACAGAUAGUGGUCUCCAUGGAAAAUCUCAAAGACACACACCAUCUUCAACAACCAUUCAUUUCUGCUGUAGGAAAAGCUGAGGACCAGAUUUACAUGUCAGGACUGUGCUGAAUUGCCAGACUCUGAACAGAAGGUUUGCCUCACGUCCACCUUCAACUGUACCUGCAACAAAGGACUUAAUUCCUUGGUGUUUGGUAAAAGGCUGUAUUACAUUCUGCAGCAUGGGUACAUCCUACUGCUCAAAUGGCCUUAGUCUCAAGUGCUGUCCAAAGAGAACAACUGCUUCAAACCAAAGAAGGACAGUUUAAAAACCACUCUGCCUUGUACUUGCCAUUACUCACCCCAGCACUCCUGCUAUGAAUUCUUAAAACUGGAAUGUUUCAGCUAUUGUAGUCAUGAGCUGUAAGGACAUUUCACUGAAUCCCAAGAGAUUUCUGACAGGUAUUGCCCAAAGUAAUUUCUGAAGUUGUUUCUGUCCUUGCAGCAGAUGGAACAAGUGUCUCAGAGUUGCAGCUCCUG